GACGAACGCUGGCGGCGUGCCUAAUACAUGCAAGUCGAGCGAAGUUUUUCUGGUGCUUGCACUAGAAAAACUUAGCGGCGAACGGGUGAGUAACACGUAAAGAACCUGCCUCAUAGACUGGGACAACUAUUGGAAACGAUAGCUAAUACCGGAUAACAGCAUUAACUGCAUGGUUGAUGUUUGAAAGUUGGUUAUGCUAACACUAUGAGAUGGCUUUGCGGUGCAUUAGCUAGUUGGUGGGGUAAAGGCCCACCAAGGCGACGAUGCAUAGCCGACCUGAGAGGGUGAUCGGCCACACUGGGACUGAGACACGGCCCAGACUCCUACGGGAGGCAGCAGUAGGGAAUCUUCCGCAAUGGGCGAAAGCCUGACGGAGCAACGCCGCGUGAGUGAAGAAGGAUUUCGGUUCGUAAAGCUCUGUUGUUAGGGAAGAAUGGAUAUGUAGUAACUAUACAUGUACGAGACGGUACCUAACCAGAAAGCCACG
rnacentral:rRNA from 1 species